rnacentral:rRNA from 1 species
UACAGAGGGUGCGAGCGUUGUCCGGAAUCACUGGGCGUAAAGGGCGCGUAGGUGGCGCGACAAGUCAGUGGUGAAAGCUCGAUGCUUAACAUCGAGUCGGCCACUGAUACUGUUGGGCUUGAGCACUGUAGAGGCUAAUGGAAUUCCGGGUGUAGCGGUGGAAUGCGUAGAGAUCCGGAAGAACACCGGUGGCGAAGGCGGUUAGCUGGGCAGUAACUGACGCUGAGGAGCGAAAGCGUGGGGAGCGAACAGG